UAAACCUGCAUUUGGAAGAACCAUUUCAGUUUCUGCAACUUCUUCAAUAUAACUCUAUAUUAGUUUGUUUAACUGUUUGAAUUAACUGCUCUCUUAAUUAAUAUCCUAAGGGCAUUCAUUAGAAAAACCAAUAGUAUUAUCUAUAGAUACUUCAAUUGAAAGACUCUGGGUGUCCUCUACUGUGACAUUCCAUUUCCCUUUUGAACUAAAAGGAUCACCAGUGCCACCCCAAAGUUCCCAAGAUUCCAUCUCUUCCUCAGAAACUCCCUCAUAGCUUAUGCUGACAACUUUAGUAUUGAAUUUGAUGUGUCGUAGCAAGUCGAAAUGGCGA